rnacentral:rRNA from 1 species
AGAUGUGGGUUAGUCCGCACGAGCGCACCCUAUCCUUAGUUGCCAGCACGUAAUGGUGGGAACUCUAAGGAGACUGCCGGUGAUAAACCGGAGGAAGGUGGGGACGACGUCAAGUCAUCAUGGCCCUUACGUGUAGGGCUACACACGUGCUACAAUGGCGCAUACAGAGUGCUGCGAACCUGCGAAGGUAAGCGAAUCACUUAAAGUGCGUCGUAGUCCGGAUUGGAGUCUGCAACUCGACUCCAUGAAGUCAGAAUCGCUAGUAAUCGCGGAUCAGAAUGCCGCGGUGAAUACGUUCCCGGGCCUUGUACACACCGCCCGUCACACCAUGGGAGUGGGUUGCUCCAGAAGUGGAUAGUCUAACCUUAGGGAGGACGUUCACCACGGAGUGAUUCAUGACUGGGGUGAAGUCGUAACAAGGUAGCCCUAGGGGAACCUGGGGCUGGAUCACCUCCUU